GCUUACCCUGAGAACAUUGAACACAAGGUCUAUCCACUGAGCCUAGCAGUCAGUGGUGGAGUCUGAAACAGUACCAGAACCAUGAAGCUGGAGGGUAUAACAUCCCAAUGGAACAACUAUUACUGCUUCUUAUAAAGCCUGAUGAACUGUCGUGUGCUGUUAUGGAAGAAGGUAUGAACAUGCUUCAGAUGAAAAAUUCUGAUUUUAGUCCCAUCGGUAACAUGGCAAGUAUUGUCUUAACUCAGAAAGAAUUAGAACAAGGAUCACCAGGCAGUACCAUUGUUCUACAGUGUCCAUUUUCUGGAUUCAGUCCCAGUGAUCACCAUGUAAGCUGGGUGCGACAAACACCAGGAAAAACAGAGCUUGAGUGGCUUGGAGGUUCAAGAACAGGUCAAACAACAUACAUCUCACCAGCAGUAAAAGGCAAAAUGACUCCUUCCACUAUUGGCUCCACAGCCCAGCUGCAGAUUAACCAACUGCGACCAGAAGAUACGGCAGUUUAUUACUGUGCCCGAUGGCACACAGUGAUCAGUCUUGUGUGUAAGGCAUAGCAAAAACUGAGUAACUAGAUAUCAGUUGUAACUCAUUUGGGUAAUAUACUGCAUUUUACUUUGGCUAAUAUUUUGGACAGUUUGCAAGAACUGUCAUCUCUCAGUGAGGAUAGUUAUUCUAUUUUCAUCUUACCUAUAGUCUCUGUCAUCUAAAAAUAUACUUUUGCAAUAUUUCAGCAUAUUACAUGCAAAUGAUUAAUAACUCCAGCCAAUACCUCUGAAAUACAAUAAUUUAUUAGUCACCUAUUAGUGGAUUAAGAACAAAGAAACAUCCUGGAAUUAGUAAGCAGAAGAUAGAAACAAAUGCGGAGGAAGGCAUGCUGUACAAUCAUCUACAGGAAUCUACAAGUAGCAGAUAUUUGGUGGGCAAUGGAUGAAAAACAGAAUGCCGAUGGCUGGAAGAAGAGUGUAAAGAAGGAGGUAUCAGGGAGAUUGGCAAUGAGUUUGUCAUUAUAUUUGAUUAAACAUUUAAACACAGAACUGGAAGCAGAUAGGAGGCACACAGCACAACCAAUGUCCUCAUUUCCUAACCAAAUAGAUAUGCUUGCACACUAUAUAAACAACACAUUGUUUAUUUUGUCCCUAUAUAUUAUAUAAAACUUUUAUUAUGCCUAUAGUACCACAUGCAUUAUUCGUCUUUAUGUCUUUGGCCUUAACUUCUCUUUAAGAAGUUUGUUUCACUCUUCCACUACCCUUUUGGUGGAAUAAUGUUUCUGUAUGUCUGUCUGAACUGCCCUCAUUUCAAUUUUCAAAAUCUUUCCUUUUGCCCUGAACUCAUUAUUUGAAAAUGGUAACACAUUGGAGCCUGUAGCGUAGAUGCUAUAAUUACAUUUUGUUUGUAGUGUCAUUGACCUCUUUUUCAAGACUAUACAUGCAAAUGUUUCCAUUAUCAUGUUUUUUUUCUUUUUUUAAAGCAUCUUUUGUAUAAGAAACAGGAAGGGAAGGAACAGGAAACUGUGGAAGCUCUGAUGCAGUCGAUGAGGGGUGAUAGGCCAGUGAGUUCCUAUAUGACAAAGCAACGGA